rnacentral:rRNA from 1 species
GGGUUGUGAGGUUAAGCGACUAAGCGUACACGGUGGAUGCCCUGGCAGUCAGAGGCGAUGAAGGACGUGCUAAUCUGCGAUAAGCGUCGGUAAGGUGAUAUGAACCGUUAUAACCGGCGAUUUCCGAAUGGGGAAACCCAGUGUGUUUCGACACACUAUCAUUAACUGAAUCCAUAGGUUAAUGAGGCGAACCGGGGGAACUGAAACAUCUAAGUACCCCGAGGAAAAGAAAUCAACCGAGAUUCCCCCAGUAGCGGCGAGCGAACGGGGAGCAGCCCAGAGCCUGAAUCAGUGUGUGUGUUAGUGGAAGCGCCUGGAAAGGCGCGCGAUACAGGGUGACAGCCCCGUACACAAAAAUGCACAUACUGUGAGCUCGAUGAGUAGGGCGGGACACGUGGUAUCCUGUCUGAAUAUGGGGGGACCAUCCUCCAAGGCUAAAUACUCCUGACUGACCGAUAGUGAACCAGUACCGUGAGGGAAAGGCGAAAAGAACCCCGGCGAGGGGAGUGAAAAAGAACCUGAAACCGUGUACGUACAAGCAGUGGGAGCACGCUUCGGCGUGUGACUGCGUACCUUUUGUAUAAUGGGUCAGCGACUUAUAUUCUGUAGCAAGGUUAACCGAAUAGGGGAGCCGAAGGGAAACCGAGUCUUAACUGGGCGUUAAGUUGCAGGGUAUAGACCCGAAACCCGGUGAUCUAGCCAUGGGCAGGUUGAAGGUUGGGUAACACUAACUGGAGGACCGAACCGACUAAUGUUGAAAAAUUAGCGGAUGACUUGUGGCUGGGGGUGAAAGGCCAAUCAAACCGGGAGAUAGCUGGUUCUCCCCGAAAGCUAUUUAGGUAGCGCCUCGUGAACUCAUCUUCGGGGGUAGAGCACUGUUUCGGCAAGGGGGUCAUCCCGACUUACCAACCCGAUGCAAACUGCGAAUACCGGAGAAUGUUAUCACGGGAGACACACGGCGGGUGCUAACGUCCGUCGUGAAGAGGGAAACAACCCAGACCGCCAGCUAAGGUCCCAAAGUCAUGGUUAAGUGGGAAACGAUGUGGGAAGGCCCAGACAGCCAGGAUGUUGGCUUAGAAGCAGCCAUCAUUUAAAGAAAGCGUAAUAGCUCACUGGUCGAGUCGGCCUGCGCGGAAGAUGUAACGGGGCUAAACCAUGCACCGAAGCUGCGGCAGCGACACUAUGUGUUGUUGGGUAGGGGAGCGUUCUGUAAGCCUGUGAAGGUGUGCUGUGAGGCAUGCUGGAGGUAUCAGAAGUGCGAAUGCUGACAUAAGUAACGAUAAAGCGGGUGAAAAGCCCGCUCGCCGGAAGACCAAGGGUUCCUGUCCAACGUUAAUCGGGGCAGGGUGAGUCGACCCCUAAGGCGAGGCCGAAAGGCGUAGUCGAUGGGAAACAGGUUAAUAUUCCUGUACUUGGUGUUACUGCGAAGGGGGACGGAGAAGGCUAUGUUGGCCGGGCGACGGUUGUCCCGGUUUAAGCGUGUAGGCUGGUUUUCCAGGCAAAUCCGGAAAAUCAAGGCUGAGGCGUGAUGACGAGGCACUACGGUGCUGAAGCAACAAAUGCCCUGCUUCCAGGAAAAGCCUCUAAGCAUCAGGUAACAUUAAAUCGUACCCCAAACCGACACAGGUGGUCAGGUAGAGAAUACCAAGGCGCUUGAGAGAACUCGGGUGAAGGAACUAGGCAAAAUGGUGCCGUAACUUCGGGAGAAGGCACGCUGAUAUGUAGGUGAAGUCCCUCGCGGAUGGAGCUGAAAUCAGUCGAAGAUACCAGCUGGCUGCAACUGUUUAUUAAAAACACAGCACUGUGCAAACACGAAAGUGGACGUAUACGGUGUGACGCCUGCCCGGUGCCGGAAGGUUAAUUGAUGGGGUUAGCGGUAACGCGAAGCUCUUGAUCGAAGCCCCGGUAAACGGCGGCCGUAACUAUAACGGUCCUAAGGUAGCGAAAUUCCUUGUCGGGUAAGUUCCGACCUGCACGAAUGGCGUAAUGAUGGCCAGGCUGUCUCCACCCGAGACUCAGUGAAAUUGAACUCGCUGUGAAGAUGCAGUGUACCCGCGGCAAGACGGAAAGACCCCGUGAACCUUUACUAUAGCUUGACACUGAACAUUGAGCCUUGAUGUGUAGGAUAGGUGGGAGGCUUUGAAGUGUGGACGCCAGUCUGCAUGGAGCCGACCUUGAAAUACCACCCUUUAAUGUUUGAUGUUCUAACGUUGACCCGUAAUCCGGGUUGCGGACAGUGUCUGGUGGGUAGUUUGACUGGGGCGGUCUCCUCCUAAAGAGUAACGGAGGAGCACGAAGGUUGGCUAAUCCUGGUCGGACAUCAGGAGGUUAGUGCAAUGGCAUAAGCCAGCUUGACUGCGAGCGUGACGGCGCGAGCAGGUGCGAAAGCAGGUCAUAGUGAUCCGGUGGUUCUGAAUGGAAGGGCCAUCGCUCAACGGAUAAAAGGUACUCCGGGGAUAACAGGCUGAUACCGCCCAAGAGUUCAUAUCGACGGCGGUGUUUGGCACCUCGAUGUCGGCUCAUCACAUCCUGGGGCUGAAGUAGGUCCCAAGGGUAUGGCUGUUCGCCAUUUAAAGUGGUACGCGAGCUGGGUUUAGAACGUCGUGAGACAGUUCGGUCCCUAUCUGCCGUGGGCGCUGGAGAACUGAGGGGGGCUGCUCCUAGUACGAGAGGACCGGAGUGGACGCAUCACUGGUGUUCGGGUUGUCAUGCCAAUGGCACUGCCCGGUAGCUAAAUGCGGAAGAGAUAAGUGCUGAAAGCAUCUAAGCACGAAACUUGCCCCGAGAUGAGUUCUCCCUGACUCCUUGAGAGUCCUGAAGGAACGUUGAAGACGACGACGUUGAUAGGCCGGGUGUGUAAGCGCAGCGAUGCGUUGAGCUAACCGGUACUAAUGAACCGUGAGGCUUAACCUUACAACGCCGAAGGUGUUU